rnacentral:pre_miRNA from 1 species
UCAGUAACAAGGAUUCAUCUCUGUAUUGUGUGAAGAACAGAGAGAGUCUUUGUAACUAAGU